UAAUCAGAUGGAUACUUUAGUUUCUCUCCAGUGUGCACCGCUGCGGUUUCAUCAAAGAGGCGGCCUGGCUGUCUGUGUCAGUGUCAGUGCCGCUGCUCUUUCAAACGGU